CCUACGGGUGGCUGCAGUGAGGAAUAUUGGUCAAUGGACGCAAGUCUGAACCAGCCAUGCCGCGUGCAGGAAGACGGCUCUAUGAGUUGGAAACUGCGGUUGUACGAGGGUAAACGCAGAUACGCGUAUCUUUCUGAAUGUACCGUACGAAUAAGGAUCGGCUCACUCCGUGCCAGCAGCCGCGGUAAUACGGAGGAUUCGAGCGUUGUCCGGAUUUAUUGGGUUUAAAGGGUGCGUAGGCGGUCGGUUAAGUUCGAGGUGAAAUCCCGGGGCUCAACGUCGGAUUUGCCUCUUAUACUGUUCGGCUAGAGCGUAGUUGCGGUAGGCGGAAUGUCUGGUGUAGCGG
rnacentral:rRNA from 1 species